UGGGGAAUAUUGCACAAUGGGCGCAAGCCUGAUGCAGCGACGCCGCGUGAGGGAUGACGGCCUUCGGGUUGUAAACCUCUUUCAAUAGGGACGAAGCGCAAGUGACGGUACCUAUAGAAGAAGGACCGGCCAACUACGUGCCAGCAGCCGCGGUAAUACGUAGGGUCCGAGCGUUGUCCGGAAUUACUGGGCGUAAAGAGCUCGUAGGUGGUUUGUCGCGUUGUUCGUGAAAACUCACAGCUUAACUGUGGGCGUGCGGGCGAUACGGGCAGACUAGAGUACUGCAGGGGAGACUGGAAUUCCUGGUGUAGCGGUGGAAUGCGCAGAUAUCAGGAGGAACACCGGUGGCGAAGGCGGGUCUCUGGGCAGUAACUGACGCUGAGGAGCGAAAGCGUGGGGAGCGAACAGGAUUAGAUACCCUGGUAGUCCACGCCGUAAACGGUGGGUACUAGGUGUGGGUUUCCUUCCUUGGGAUCCGUGCCGUAGCUAACGCAUUAAGUACCCCGCCUGGGGAGUACGGCCGCAAGGCUAAAACUUAAAUGAAUUGACGGGGUCAUAGCUGUUUCCU
rnacentral:rRNA from 1 species